rnacentral:rRNA from 1 species
CGAACCGACUUACGUUGAAAAGUGAGCGGAUGAACUGAGGGUAGCGGAGAAAUUCCAAUCGAACCUGGAGAUAGCUGGUUCUCUCCGAAAUAGCUUUAGGGCUAGCCUCAAGUGAUGAUUAUUGGAGGUAGAGCACUGUUUGGACGAGGGGCCCCUCUCGGGUUACCGAAUUCAGACAAACUCCGAAUGCCAAUUAAUUUAACUUGGGAGUCAGAACAUGGGUGAUAAGGUCCGUGUUCGAAAGGGAAACAGCCCAGACCACCAGCUAAGGUCCCAAAAUAUAUGUUAAGUGGAAAAGGAUGUGGCGUUGCCCAGACAACUAGGAUGUUGGCUUAGAAGCAGCCAUCAUUUAAAGAGUGCGUAAUAGCUCACUAGUCGAGUGACACUGCGCCGAAAAUGUACCGGGGCUAAACAUAUUACCGAAGCUGUGGAUUGUCCUUUGGACAAUGGUAGGAGAGCGUUCUAAGGGCGUUGAAGCA